GAAGGGAUUGCUUUUAUUAUAUGGGACACACAUUGUCACAUGAUGUUGAAGAGUGUUAUCACACGUGUAUUUGCCAAAAUGCAAUAUAUGUAAUUAUAUAUUUCAUUGUAUAAGAAAUAAAAUCUUUGGCAGGGUUACCCAAUGCAUUGAAUAAUCUGAUGACAUUUUAUGGACAUUUUGGAGCUGGCAGAAACUUUGUAAUGAUCUAGCUUUCUCAUUUUUAUGACAGAGGAAACAAAAGUAGAAAGAGCUAACUUACCCUGUCCCACAGAGAGCCAGAGACUGACGGGAGAAUCACACUCACAUCUCUGGCUUCUUCCCAGUGGCCUGCGGGGAUGUAUUCCAUUUGUGGAUGAGACUCCUGAAGCUUUUGAAAAGCGAAACCUUUGAUGGACAGCCAAGGUCAUGUGACUGGUGUUUUUAUACAAUAUGGGAAGGGCACUUUAUUUGUUCUUGGAGAUAGACACCUUGAAAGCUGGAUAGAGCUAUGCCUACUAGGUGGAGAGAUGAAUGACCUUCAGGAGCUCUUCCAGCUUUUUGGAACGAGGAAAGCUUCCUACAGGACUGGAGGAGUAGGAGAGUGUAAUGUGAGAGACCCCUGGACCAGAGUCACCUUGGCGUCUUCUGACAUGCAGCGUGUCUGAGUCAUAAACUCUGGACUCAUCUCAGGGCUGGGCAGGGUUUUCAAAUCAUUUGCCACUCCCUGUCCUAAUGACUGGAACUUUGGAACACAUCUGUGAGAAACAGGUGAGA
rnacentral:lncRNA from 1 species